rnacentral:rRNA from 1 species
GAUGAACGCUGGCGGCGUGCCUAAUACAUGCAAGUCGAGCGAACAGAUGAGGAGCUUGCUCCUUUGACGUUAGCGGCGGACGGGUGAGUAACACGUGGAUAACCUACCUAUAAGACUGGGAUAACUUCGGGAAACCGGAGCUAAUACCGGAUAAUAUUUUGAACCGCAUGGUUCAAUAGUGAAAGACGGUUUUGCUAUCACUUAUAGAUGGAUCCGCGCCGCAUUAGCUAGUUGGUAAGGUAACGGCUUACCAAGGCAACGAUACGUAGCCGACCUGAGAGGGUGAUCGGCCACACUGGAACUGAGACACGGUCCAGACUCCUACGGGAGGCAGCAGUAGGGAAUCUUCCGCAAUGGGCGAAAGCCUGACGGAGCAACGCCGCGUGAGUGAUGAAGGUCUUCGGAUCGUAAAACUCUGUUAUUAGGGAAGAACAAAUGUGUAAGUAACUAUGCACGUCUUGACGGUACCUAAUCAGAAAGCCACGGCUAACUACGUG